CGAACUCUCCCGACGGGUAAAGGGUUGGUUACCUUUCGGUCGGGGUUGUGUGAAAACGAACCCGGCCGACAGGUAAAUGCUUGAAAACUAUUGCAGUGACAACAAAAAUCCCAGCGACUGAUGGGGGAGAAAAGUCCUCAAGUGACCCAUCCACUCCCCGACUGCUCCCAACAAUGGCCGACGGAAAAGGCCUUCGUCUCCCCCACCGCUGAUGGAUGACCUCAGUGACCCUGCCAUCGAGCUCAGAUAUCUUCUUCAAGAAAUACUGCAGCAACCCUCCUGGAUCAUUGCCCCAACAACAACGGAAAAGAACCUUAAUGCCACCCGGCUGAUGGAUGACCUCAGUGACCCUGCCAUCGGGCUCAGAUGUCUUCCUCAAGAAAUGCUGCAGGAAUUCUCCUGGAUCAUCUAGUUUUUCGUCUCGGAUUCGCCCUUCAUCGGAUCCCCAUCAUCCAACAGAAAAGGCUUUCGUCUCCUCCUCCAACCCCCUGCUGAUGGAUGACAUUAAUUACCCUAUCAUCAGUGUCGGUAAUCUUACUCAAGAAAUA